AAGACUGCUUAAAGCUUUGUGCCAAAGACCAGGAGCUUUCUGCAAGGAAACGAACAUCUGCUCUGUAAGAGUCCAGUUUCACAUGGACUGAGCAACACCAGGAGAUAAGGACCCCCACAAACCUUCUCACAUUCUGCUGGAAGUGCAAGGUCCCAACCCCAGAUUUCCCACCAGUCUGGAGUAACGUUUGGAGGAGCCUGGCAGCAUGGUUCUUCUAGUAGCUCCCAAGGAUAUUGAGGAUCAUGGGAUGUAUGGACCCCCCCAAACCGUCUGGAGAAUGUCGGCUGCAGAUAAGAGCAUCUCAAGUUCCUGCCAUCUUUUUAUCCUGUUUUUUUCCUGGGUCGCCCCAUGUCAUUCGGGAAGGAAGCCUCUCUGGCCUGAGGAUUAUAGCAAACUGGUCACUUGCUGGAAUACCUCCUCUUGCGUUUUCUCAAGAUGGAGCCAUUGCUUUACCCAGCAGAAGGAUAUUUUUUUCUUCUCCCAGAGCUUUUCCAGUGCAGCAACGCUUAUGGCCAACAGGUUGGGAAGAAGCAGUGAACUGUCACAAGACGUGUCUUUGAUGAAGCCGCCAAAGCAAGAAUAUCUGCUCGCCUCCCGAAUCCUUUGCAUUGCUUUGAGGGGCUCUGCAGAGCCGAAGGUGUCGACAGGCUGUUUUCUUGGGCUGCCAUCUGCUGAGCAGCAUUAUGUGGAUUAAUAUUGAGGAACUUGUAGUGAAAUUUGUCUCAUGCCACGAAAAUGUAAAGCCUCUGAAGCUGGCUGGCAUCCCAAGGCUGCGAGGGGCCCUUGGAGGGGCCGCUCGGUGAAGGUGGCAGGAUUUGUGCCGUCCUGAAGCCGUGAAGUGGGACAUGAUCUGAGGAGUUUGUAAUUAGGUUUUAAUCAUCUCCAAGCUGGUCUGGUUGCUGAUUUUGGGCAGCAGACAAAAACCACCAGCCAGGAAUGGCUGCCACGGGGCCAGCCUGCCACCGAGGGCGGGCAUCUGCCCAGUCUUCUGGCCCUGCGGCGUGGUUCCCAGUUCAGAAACAAAAUGCUGGUUUUGGGCCAUUUUUUAUUCUGAGGGUAUUUCUUGAGCUGGAAUCAAAUCUCGCACCCAUCCUCCUGGUUUUUCCCUGGCAAUGUUUGGGGAUGCUAUGGUUUUGCUGGUUCU
rnacentral:lncRNA from 1 species